GACGAACGCUGGCGGCGUGCUUAACACAUGCAAGUCGAACGGAAAGGUCCUGCUCUUGCGGGGUGCUCGAGUGGCGAAGGGGUGAGUAACACGUGAGUAUCCUGCACCUGACUUUGGGAUAACUUCUGGAAACUGGGGCUCUUACCGGAUAGGAGCUCCUGCUGCAUGGUGGGGGUUGGUAAGUGUCGGCGGUUGGGGCUGGACUCGCGGCUUAUCAGCUUGUUGUGGGGGUAGUGGAUUAUCAAGGCUAUGACGGGUAGCCCGCCUGAGAGGGUGACUGGCCGCCCUGGAAGUGAGACACGGUCCAGAGGCCUAGGGGAGGGAGCAGUAGGGAAGCGGCCGCAAUGGGCGAAAGACUGACGGAGAGAGGCGGAGUGAUUGAUGAAGGUCUCCGGAUCGUAAAAGGCUGUUAUUGGGGAAGAACCAAUGUGCAAGUAACUAGGCACGUCUUGACGGUAAAUGAUCAGAAAGCCACGGCUAACUACGUG
rnacentral:rRNA from 1 species